AUCCCACUGCCCCCAUCCCCACCCCACUGCUCCCAUCCCCAUCCUACUGCCCCCAUCCUACUGCCCCCACCCCACUGCUCCCAGUUCCCAUCCCAUCACUCCCAGUUCCCGUCCCAUCACUCCCAGUUCCCGUCCCGUUACUCCCCAUUCCACCCCAUUGCUCCCAGUUCCCAUCCCACCGCUCCCUGUCCCCAUUCCCAUCAUUCCCAGUUCCCACCCCACCCUAUUCCUGUUCCCAUCCCAAUCCCAUCCCACCCCCUUCUCAAUUCCCAUCCCAUCCCCUCCCAGUUUCCACCCUUAUCCCAUCCCACCCCUAUUCCCAUCGCAAUUCCUAUUCCCAGUUCCCAUCCCAUUCCCAUCCCAAUCCCCAUCCCAGUUCCCAUCCCAUUCCCAUCCCAGUUCCCAUCCCAGUUCCCAUCCCAUUCCCAUCCCAGUUCUCAUCCCAUUCCCAUCCCAGUUCCCAUCCCAGUUCUCAUCCCAGUUCCCAUCCCGUUCCCAUCCCAAUCCCCAUCCCAUUCCCAUCCCAUUCCCAUUCCAGUUCCCAUCCCAGUUCCCAUCCCAAUCCCCAUCCCAUUCCCAUCCCAUUCCCCAUCCCAUUCCCAUUCCAGUUCCCAUCCCAGUUCCCAUCCUGUUUCCAUCCCAAUCCCCAUCCCAAUUCCUGUCCCAAUUCCCAUCCCAAUCCUUAUCCCGUUUCCAUCCCAAUCCCCAUCCCAGUUCCCAUCCCAGUUCCUAUUCCAGUUCCCAUCCCAAUUCUCAUCCCAAUCCCCAUCCCAAAUCCCAUCCCCAUCAACAUCCCAAUUCCCAUCCUCACCCCAUCCCCAAUCCCAAUUCCCCUCCCCAUCCCCGUUCCCCCCCCACUGCUGACCCACAGGGACGCAGAGGGGUUCGGCCCCAUAAG
rnacentral:lncRNA from 1 species